GAUGAACGCUAGCAGCAGGCUUAAUACAUGCAAGUCGAGGGGCAGCAUGAUUGUAGCAAUACAAUUGAUGGCGACCGGCAAACGGGUGCGGAACACGUACACAACCUUCCAACAAGUGGGGGAUAGCCCAGAGAAAUUUGGAUUAAUACCCCGUAACAUAGCGAUGUGGCAUCACAUUGCUAUUAUAGAUUUUUCGCUUGUUGAUGGGUGUGCGGCUGAUUAGAUAGUUGGCGGGGUAACGGCCCACCAAGUCUACGAUCAGUGGCUGAUGUGAAAGCAUGAUCAGCCACACGGGCACUGAGACACGGGCCCGACUCCUACGGGAGGCAGCAGUAAGGAAUAUUGGACAAUGGGCGGAAGCCUGAUCCAGCAACGCCGCGUGAGGGAUGACGGCCUUCGGGUUGUAAACCUCUUUCAGCACAGACGAAGCCUUGUCUUUUUGGGUGGGGUGACGGUAUGUGCAGAAGAAGCACCGGCCAACUACGUGCCAGCAGCCGCCGUAACAC
rnacentral:rRNA from 1 species